GGACCCGCACAAGUAGUGGAGCAUGUGGUUUAAUUCGAAGAUACGCGCAGAACCUUACCAACACUUGACAUGUUCGUCGCGACUCUAAGAGAUUAGAGUUUUCGGUUCGGCCGGACGAAACACAGGUGCUGCAUGGCUGUCGUCAGCUCGUGUCGUGAGAUGUUGGGUUAAGUCCCGCAACGAGCGCAACCUCACUUUAGUUGCCAUCAUUAAGUUGGGCACUCUGAAAGAACUGCCAGUGAUAAGCUGGAGGAAGGUGGGGAUGACGUCAAGUCCUCAUGGCCUUACGGCCUGGGCUACACACGUGCUACAAUGGCUAGGACAGACGGCCGCAAACCCGCGAGGGGGAGCCAA
rnacentral:rRNA from 1 species